rnacentral:rRNA from 1 species
GACGAACGCUGGCGGCGUGCUUAACACAUGCAAGUCGAACGGGCCUUGUCCCCUUUUUUUUGGGGGUGGGGUUAGUGGCGAACGGGUGAGUAACACGUGAGUAACCUGCCCCUCACUUCUGGAUAACCGCUUGAAAGGGUGGCUAAUACGGGGUGUUCUGGCCUGCUCGCAUGGGUGGGUUUGGAAAGAUUCGACCGGUUUUGGUUGUUUUGGUGGGGGAUGGGCUCGCGGCCUAUCAGCUUGUUGGUGGGGUGAUGGCCUGCCAAGGCUUUGACGGGUAGCCGGCCUGAGAGGGUGGGCGGUCACACUGGGACUGAGACACGGCCCAGACUCCUACGGGAGGCAGCAGUGGGGAAUAUUGCACAAUGGGCGCAAGCCUGAUGCAGCGACGCCGCGUGAGGGAUGGAGGCCUUCGGGUUGUGAACCUCUUUCGCCAGUGAAGGAGGUCCUGCUCUUUGUGGUGGGGUUGACGGUAGCUGGGUUAAUGAAGCGCCGGCUAACUACGUG